rnacentral:rRNA from 1 species
GAUGAACGCUGGCGGCGUGCCUAAUACAUGCAAGUCGAGCGAACAGACGAGGGGCUUGCUCCUCUGACGUUAGCGGCGCACGGGUGAGUAACAUGUGGAUAACCUACCUAUAAGACUGGGAUAACUUAGGGAAACCGGAGCUAAUACCGGAUAAUAUAUUGAAGCGCAUGGUUCAAUAGUGAAAGACGGUUUUGCUGUCACUUAUCGAUGGAUCCGCGCCGCAUUAGCUAGUGGGUUAGGUAACGGCUUACCAAGGCGACGAUUCGUAGCCGACCUGAGAGGGUGACCGGCCACACUGGAACUGAGACACGGUCCAGACUCCUACGGGAGGCAGCAGUAGGGAAUCUUCCGCAAUGGGCGAAAGCCUGACGGAGCAACGCCGCGUGAGUGAUGAAGGUCUUCGGAUCGUAAAGCUCUGUUAUUAGGGAAGAACAAAUGUGUAAGUAACUAUGCACGCCUUGACGGUACCUAAUCAGAAAGCCACGGCUAACUACGUG